rnacentral:rRNA from 1 species
GACGAACGCUGGCGGCGUGCUUAACACAUGCAAGUCGCACGGGGCCCGCAAGGGUUCAGUGGCGGACGGGUGCGUAACACGUGAAGAACUUGUCCAUCGGUGGGGGAUAGCCGGCCCAACGGCCGGGUAAUACCGCGUACGUCGGCGGGAACGCAUGUUCCUGCCGGGAAAGCAGCAAUGCGCCGAUGGAGAGCUUCGCGGCCUAUCAGCUUGUUGGUGGGGUAAUGGCCUACCAAGGCGACGAUCCGUAGCUGGUCUGAGAAGACGAACAGCCACACUGGGACUGAGACACGGCCCAGACUCCUACGGGAGGCAGCAGUGGGGAAUAUUGGACAAUGGGCGAAAGCCUGAUCCAGCGAUGCCGCGUGUGUGAAGAAGGCCUUACGGG